AUUGAAAACGAAAGUAGAAAGGUUGCGCAGCUGUCUGCAAAAAAACAUGGCGAUGCUCAUUGUGUCCACGUGGAAGACAGAAGUUACGUACAUAAUAGAUUCGAUUUACAAGAAAUGACUGAAUUAUGUUCGUAACAAUGACACAAAGAUCCAAGACUCAAAAUAGAAGACCCAGGAUAUUUAGCAAUCCAUCUGACAAUUUACUUGUCUGCAUUAAUUCUCUUUGAAAGCUAGUCUAUUAUUAAGCUUUGAAAUGAAAUAUUAAAAGUAUUAAAGACAAGUG